rnacentral:rRNA from 1 species
AAGGGAGAGGAUAAGGUAGAAAUCUACCCUCGGGACGGGGAUAGCUGCGGGAAACUGCUGGUAAUACCCGAUAAUAUCUUUGGAUCAAAGGUGUGAUUCCGCCUGGGGAUGAGUCUACUUCCUAUUAGCUAGUUGGCAGGGUAAUGGCCUACCAAGGCAACGAUGGGUAGCGGGUGUGAGAGCAUGACCCGCCUCACUGGGACUGAGAACUGCCCAGACACCUACGGGUGGCUGCAGUCGAGAAUCUUCGGCAAUGGGCGCAAGCCUGACCGAGCGACGCCGCGUGCGGGAUGAAGGCCUUCGGGUUGUAAACCGCUGUCGUAGGGGAACAAAUGUAAGUGGGUUCUCCCAUUUACUUGAGUGAUCCUAGGAGGAAGGGGAGGCUAAGCUCGUGCCAGCAGCCGCGGUAAGACGAGCUCCCCGAACGUUAUUCGGUAUUACUGGGCUUAAAGAGUUCGUAGGCGGCCCGACAGGUGAGGUGUGAAAUCCCUCGGCUCAACCGAGGAACUGCGCUUCAAACCGUCAGGCUUGAGGGAGAUAGAGGUGAGCGGAACAGAUGGUGGAGCGGUGAAAUGCGUUGA